rnacentral:rRNA from 1 species
GUGAGGAAUAUUGGUCAAUGGGCGGGAGCCUGAACCAGCCAAGUCGCGUGAAGGAAGAAGGAUCUAUGGUUCGUAAACUUCUUUUGCAGGGGAAUAAAGUGCAGGACGUGUCCUGUUUUGUAUGUACCCUGAGAAUAAGGAUCGGCUAACUCCGUGCCAGCAGCCGCGGUAAUACGGAGGAUCCGAGCGUUAUCCGGAUUUAUUGGGUUUAAAGGGUCCGUAGGUGGUUUGAUAAGUCAGCGGUGAAAGUUUGCAGCUUAACUGUAAAAAUGCCGUUGAAACUGUCGGACUUGAGUGUAAAUGAGGUAGGCGGAAUGCGUGGUGUAGCGGUGAAAUGCAUAGAUAUCACGCAGAACUCCGAUUGCGAAGGCAGCUUACUAAGCUACAACUGACACUGAAGCACGAAAGCGUGGGGAUCAAACAGGAUUAGAAACCCCGGUAGUCC